rnacentral:pre_miRNA from 1 species
CAAAUACUACUUCCGUCCGAAAAUACUUGUCCUAAAGAUGAAUGUAUCUAGACUUAUUUUAAUUGUAGAUACAUUCAUUAUAUGUAUUUUUAAGACAAGUAUUUUCGGACGAAGGGAGUACUUA